rnacentral:rRNA from 1 species
CAGCCGCCGCGGUAAUACGAAGGGGGCUAGCGUUGUUCGGAUUUACUGGGCGUAAAGCGCACGUAGGCGGAUCGAUCAGUCAGGGGUGAAAUCCCAGAGCUCAACUCUGGAACUGCCUUUGAUACUGUCGAUCUGGAGUAUGGAAGAGGUGAGUGGAAUUCCGAGUGUAGAGGUGAAAUUCGUAGAUAUUCGGAGGAACACCAGUGGCGAAGGCGGCUCACUGGUCCAUUACAGACGCUGAGGUGCGAAAGCGUGGGGAGCAUACAGGAUUAGAUACCCGUGUAGUCCCUGUCUCUUAUAC